UACGUAGGUGGCAAGCGUUGUCCGGAUUUAUUGGGUUUAAAGGGUGCGUAGGUGGUCAAUUCAGUCAGUGCUGAAAUAUCCCGGCUUAACCGGGAGGGUGGCAUUGAUACUGAUUGACUUGAGUGGAGUUGAGGUAGGCGGAAUUGACGGUGUAGCGGUGAAAUGCUUAGAUAUCGUCAAGAACACCGAUAGCGAAGGCAGCUUACCAAGCUCUAACUGACACUGAUGCACGAAAGUGUGGGGAUCAAACAGG
rnacentral:rRNA from 1 species